AGAAACUUUUGAUAACCCCAUGGGGGCUAUACAGCAAAUAUAUUAAAUAAACCUGAAACAUAAGGAAAGAACAAAAGGAGGGUUAGCAUUCAAUUCCAGAGAACAAGUCAUCUGCUCAUGGUGCCUAAAUGAGCCAGGAAGCACUCAUGUUUCCACUGCAAUAGGAAUAUGUCAAUAUGCUUGACAGGGUGAGGAGAAAGCAACAAUUAAAAAUGUGGACAGGCAGAAGAUAGCUUGCAGCUGCCUGCUGCCAGCUGGACUGGAAGAAGCACAGAGGUCCAUACUGACUGGAAACUGAACAGCAUCAGAAGAUAUCAUUUGCAAGAUACCCACUUUCAAUAUAAUCCAGAGAAGAUAACUUUGAAGAGCAGCUGGGGAUAUGAUAUUUGUUAAGGUGCACCAGCACAACAAAGAAUCAAGCUGUUUGUUAGCAUGUUUGUCAGUAGGUUCAUUUCUGCCAAUUCCACCAUUGGAUUACUGAAUUUAAUUAUUUUAUUAUAUACUAAAGGAUAAUGUGUUAGAGCAGUGGUUCUCAACCUUUUUAAUGCCGCGACUCCCAACUGGUCGUAAGUUGAGGACUACUCAACCGGUCGUAAGU